rnacentral:rRNA from 1 species
ACAUGCCUACAACAUAGCGUUAAUGCACAAGAUCCCAUUAGAACUCCGCAGUUAAGCAUAUUUGGGCUAGAGUAGUACUCAGAUGGGUGACUUCCCGGGAAGUCCUAUUGUUUUACAUGCA